UACGGAGGGUGCAAGCGUUAUCCGGAUUCACUGGGUUUAAAGGGUGCGUAGGCGGGUUGGUAAGUCAGUGGUGAAAUCUUCAAGCUUAACUUGGAAACUGCCGUUGAUACUAUCAAUCUUGAAUGUUGUGGAGGUAAGCGGAAUAUGUCAUGUAGCGGUGAAAUGCUUAGAUAUGACAUAGAACACCGAUAGCGAAGGCAGCUUGCUAGACAAAAAUUGACGCUGAGGCACGAAAGCGUGGGGAUCAAACAGG
rnacentral:rRNA from 1 species